rnacentral:rRNA from 9 species
UAACGAUCUGGGCACUGUCUCAGCCAUGAGCUCGGUGAAAUUGUAGUAUCGGUGAAGAUGCCGAUUACCCGCAACGGGACGGAAAGACCCCGUGAACCUUUACUAUAGCUUCACAUUGGUAUUGGGUAAUUCAUGUGUAGGAUAGGUGGGAGACUUUGAUGCUGCGUCGCUAGGCGUAGAGUAGUCGUUGUUGAAAUACCACCCUUGAAUUAUCUGAUGCCUAACCCGAUGAGGGGACAUUGUGUGGUGGGUAGUUUGACUGGGGUGGUCGCCUCCAAAAGAGUAACGGAGGCUCCUAAAGGUACCCUCAACACGUUUGGUAAUCGUGUGUAGAGUGUAAUGGCAUAAGGGUGCUUGACUGCGAGAGUGACAACUCGAGCAGGUGCGAAAGCAGGUCAUAGUGAUCCGGUGGUUCUGAAUGGAAGGGCCAUCGCUCAAAGGAUAAAAGGUACUCCGGGGAUAACAGGCUGAUACCGCCCAAGAGUUCAUAUCGACGGCGGUGUUUGGCACCUCGAUGUCGGCUCAUCUCAUCCUGGGGCUGGAGCAGGUCCCAAGGGUACGGCUGUUCGCCGUUUAAAGAGGUACGUGAGCUGGGUUUAGAACGUCGUGAGACAGUUCGGUCCCUAUCUUCCGUGGGUGUAGGAUACUUGAGAGGAGUUGCCCCUAGUACGAGAGGACCGGGGUGAACGAUCCACUGGUGGACCUGUUGUGGCGCCAGCCGCAUUGCAGGGUAGCUAUGUGUGGACUAGAUAACCGCUGAAAGCAUCUAAGCGGGAAACUAACCUCAAAACCAGGUAUCCCUGAGAGCCGUGCAAGACCAGCACGUCGAUAGACCGG